UACGAAGGGGGCUAGCGUUACUCGGAUUGACUGGGCGUAAAGGGCGCGUAGGCGGUUUGUACAGUCAGACGUGAAAUUCCUGGGCUCAACCUGGGGGCUGCGCUUGAUACGUGCAGACUUGAGUUCGGAAGAGGGUCGUGGAAUUCCCAGUGUAGAGGUGAAAUUCGUAGAUAUUGGGAAGAACACCGGUGGCGAAGGCGGCGACCUGGUCCGAUACUGACGCUGAGGCGCGAAAGCGUGGGGAGCAAACAGG
rnacentral:rRNA from 1 species